UGUUUUAUAGUGUUAUAUAAAAUAUUAAACUGCAAUUUUAAAGAAAUAAAAUCUAUUAAAACUU
rnacentral:tRNA from 1 species